rnacentral:lncRNA from 1 species
CCUAACCCUAACCCUAACCCUAACCCUAACCCUAACCCUAACCCUAACCCUAACCCUAACCCUAACCCUAACCCUAACCCUAACCCUAACGAACAUUUUUUGGUUAUUUAGUGGAUUAAUCCACGAAAUAACAAGUAUCGAACUUGGUGGUUAUUUGGUGGAGUGUUAUUUCGUGGAUUGGUAUUUUGUACGCCGAUUUCUCAGUGAAGGAGGCCUUAAAUGGCGAAGGCCAUGGUAAUAAAAGUUGCUUAGAAUCUUUGGUACUACCUAUCACCAAACUUUUUCAAAAAAUUACCAAAAAUGGGUAAAUUUUUUCAAUAUUCAAACUGCUCUGUAGGCCAGGAAUUUCAAUAUUU